CCCCGGCCUACCCAAACCUCUUACGUUCCAUGAUAGGAUUGCCAUUUAGAUUGUUAUAAAUUCUUCUACAAUCUUUUUUUAUCGUUUUACUGGCUCUGUGCAUUUUGAUACCCAGCCUGCUGUAGUUGCACUCGGGAACCAUGUCCCCUGAUAACACGAAUGCACACAGACAAAAAUGCAAAGAGCCCUACCCUCUUUCCAAUAACAUACCUCAUUUUGUUAUAAUACUCUACAAGGAAGGGGGUCAAAUGUAAGUUCAUACAUUUCAUGUUUGCGUGGAGGUUUGAACAAAACACUGCUUCCCUCCUCUCAUUAUAAGAACCC
rnacentral:lncRNA from 1 species